AACGAACGCUGGCGGCGCGUCUUAAGCAUGCAAGUCGAACGGCAAGAUUGGUGCUUGCACCGAUCCUAGAGUGGCGGACUGGUGAGUAACGCGUGGGUGACGUACCCUAAGGAUGGGGAUAGCUGGUAGAAAUAUCAGAUAAUACCGAAUAUCCUUAUUGUUGUUAGAGGACAGUAAGGAAAGGAGCUUUGGCUUCGCCUAAGGAUCGGCCCGCGUACUAUUAGCUAGUUGGUGAGGUAACGGCUCACCAAGGCGACGAUAGUUAUCCGGCCUAAGAGGGUGAACGGACACAUUGGGACUGAGAUACGGCCCAGACUCCUACGGGAGGCAGCAGCUAAGAAUAUUCCGCAAUGGAGGAAACUCUGACGGAGCGACGCCGCGUGGAUGAUGAAGGUCGGAAGAUUGUAAAAUCCUUUAAGUAUGAUGAAUAACCUGAUCAGGAAAUGGGACAGGGAUAACCGUAAUACUUGAAUAAGCAACGGCUAAACUCCGUGCCAGCA
rnacentral:rRNA from 1 species